rnacentral:rRNA from 1 species
AUUGAACGCUGGCGGCAGGCCUAACACAUGCAAGUCGAACGGAUGAAGGGAGCUUGCUCCUGGAUUCAGCGGCGGACGGGUGAGUAAUGCCUAGGAAUCUGCCUGGUAGUGGGGGAUAACGUCCGGAAACGGGCGCUAAUACCGCAUACGUCCUGAGGGAGAAAGUGGGGGAUCUUCGGACCUCACGCUAUCAGAUGAGCCUAGGUCGGAUUAGCUAGUUGGUGGGGUAAAGGCCUACCAAGGCGACGAUCCGUAACUGGUCUGAGAGGAUGAUCAGUCACACUGGAACUGAGACACGGUCCAGACUCCUACGGGAGGCAGCAGUGGGGAAUAUUGGACAAUGGGCGAAAGCCUGAUCCAGCCAUGCCGCGUGUAUGAAGAAGGUCUUCGGAUUGUAAAGCACUUUAAGUUGGGAGGAAGGGCAGUAAGUUAAUACCUUGCUGUUUUGACGUUACCAACAGAAUAAGCACCGGCUAACUUCGUG